rnacentral:rRNA from 1 species
AUACGUAGGGGGCAAGCGUUAUCCGGAAUUACUGGGUGUAAAGGGAGAGUAGGCGGCAUGAUAAGUUAGAUGUGAAAGCCUUGGGCUUAACCCGAGGAUUGCAUUUAAAACUAUCAAGCUAGAGUACAGGAGAGGUAAGUGGAAUUCCUAGUGUAGCGGUGAAAUGCGUAGAUAUUAGGAAGAACACCAGUGGCGAAGGCGACUUACUGGACUGAAACUGACGCUGAGGCUCGAAAGCGGUGGGGAUAC